GCGGAUGUGGCGGAACUGGCAGACGCGCAAGGUUCAGGUCCUUGUGGGGGCAACCCCGUGGAGGUUCGACUCCUCUCAUCCGCA
rnacentral:tRNA from 1 species